rnacentral:rRNA from 1 species
UACGAAGGGGGCUAGCGUUGCUCGGAAUUACUGGGCGUAAAGGGCGCGUAGGCGGACAGUUUAGUCAGAGGUGAAAGCCCAGGGCUCAACCUUGGAAUUGCCUUUGAUACUGGCUGUCUUGAGUUCGGGAGAGGUGAGUGGAAUGCCGAGUGUAGAGGUGAAAUUCGUAGAUAUUCGGCGGAACACCAGUGGCGAAGGCGGACUCACUGGCCCGAUACUGACGCUGAGGCGCGAAAGCGUGGGGAGC